AUGAACGCUGGCGGCGUGCCUAAUACAUGCCAGUCGAGCGAACGGACGAGAAGCUUGCUUCUCUGAUGUUAGCGGCGGACGGGUGAGUAACACGUGGAUAACCUACCUAUAAGACUGGGAUAACUUCGGGAAACCGGAGCUAAUACCGGAUAAUAUUUUGAACCGCAUGGUUCAAAAGUGAAAGACGGUCUUGCUGUCACUUAUAGAUGGAUCCGCGCUGCAUUAGCUAGUUGGUAAGGUAACGGCUUACCGAGGCAACGAUGCAUAGCCGACCUGAGAGGGUGAUCGGCCACACUGGAACUGAGACACGGUCCAGACUCCUACGGGAGGCAGCAGUAGGGAAUCUUCCGCAAUGGGCGAAAGCCUGACGGAGCAACGCCGCGUGAGUGAUGAAGGUCUUCGGAUCGUAAAACUCUGUUAUUAGGGAAGAACAUAUGUGUAAGUAACUGUGCACAUCUUGACGGUACCUAAUCAGAAAGCCGCGGCUAACUACGUG
rnacentral:rRNA from 1 species